rnacentral:rRNA from 1 species
GUCCACGCCGUAAACGAUGAGAACUAGGUGUGGGAGGUGUCGACUCCUCCCGUGCCGUCGCUAACGCAUUAAGUUCUCCGCCUGGGGAGUACGGCCGCAAGGCUAAAACUCAAAGGAAUUGACGGGGCCCGCACAAGCAGCGGAGCAUGUGGUUUAAUUCGAUGCAACGCGAAGAACCUUACCUGGGUUUGAAAUGUUGGUGACAGGUGUGGAAACACAUCCUUCCUUCGGGACACCAUCACAGGUGGUGCAUGGCUGUCGU